rnacentral:lncRNA from 1 species
AACGACAUUCGCACUACAUCCUAAAAUAGGCCAAGAUGGGCUAGGUAUCUAAGAUCUUUGACUUCUAAGAUUUACAUUGGAAAGAGUAAUGCCUAACCACGACUACUCGUGUGACAUUAUUGAUCCCAACAAGACCUCCACACAAGUCAACAAGACUAUGCCAUUCUCCUAUCAUAAGUGCACUCGAGUUCGGGUAUAAAACUCAUCUCACAAGAGACCACCAAGCACACAAGCAAUUAAUAUAUCAAG